UACCCGCUGAACUUAAGCAUAUCAAUAAGCGGAGGAAAAGAAACUAACAAGGAUUCCCCUAGUAACUGCGAGUGAAGCGGGAAAAGCUCAAAUUUAAAAUCUGGCAGUCCUUGGCUGUCCGAGUUGUAAUCUAGAGAAGUGUUACCCGUGCUGGACCGUGUACAAGUCUCCUGGGAUGGAGCGUCAUAGAGGGUGAGAAUCCCGUCUCUGACACGGACUACCAGGGCUUUGUGGUAUGCUCUCAAAGAGUCGAGUUGUUUGGGAAUGCAGCUCAAAAUGGGUGGUAAAUUCCAUCUAAAGCUAAAUAUUGGCGAGAGACCGAUAGCGAACAAGUACCGUGAGGGAAAGAUGAAAAGCACUUUGGAAAGAGAGUUAAACAGUACGUGAAAUUGCUGAAAGGGAAACGCUUGAAGUCAGUCGCAUUGACCAGGAAUCAGCCUUGCUCUUGCAUGGUGUACUUUCUGGUUGAUGGGUCAGCAUCAAUUUUGACUGCUGGAAAAAGGCUUGGGGAAUGUGACAGCUUUGGCUGUGUUAUAGACCCUUGUCAUAUACAGCAGUUGGGAUUGAGGAACUCAGCAUGCCGCAAGGCCGGGUUUCGACCACGUUCAUGCUUAGGAUGCUGGCAUAAUGGCUUUAAGCGACCCGUCUUGAAACACGGACCAAGGAGUCUAACAUGCCUGCGAGUGUUUGGGUGGAAAACCCAAGCGCGUAAUGAAAGUGAAAGUUGAGAUCCCUGUCGUGGGGAGCAUCGACGCCCGGACCAGAACUUUUGGGACGGAUCUGCGGUAGAGCAUGUAUGUUGGGACCCGAAAGAUGGUGAACUAUGCCUGAAUAGGGUGAAGCCAGAGGAAACUCUGGUGGAGGCUCGUAGCGAUUCUGACGUGCAAAUCGAUCGUCAAAUUUGGGUAUAGGGGCGAAAGACUAAUCGAACCCAUUUUCGGGGGGCC
rnacentral:rRNA from 1 species